UACGUAGGGUGCGAGCGUUACUCGGAAUUACUGGGCGUAAAGCGUGCGCAGGCGGUUUUGUAAGUCAGAUUUGAAAUCCCCGGGCUUAACCUGGGAACUGCGUUUGAAACUACAAAGCUAGAGUGUGGCAGAGGGGGGUGGAAUUCCACGUGUAGCAGUGAAAUGCGUAGAGAUGUGGAGGAACACCGAUGGCGAAGGCAGCCCCCUGGGUUAACACUGACGCUCAGGCACGAAAGCGUGGGGAGCAAACAGG
rnacentral:rRNA from 1 species